CCGGCGACCGGCGCACGGGUGAGUAACACGUAUGCAACCUGCCCUCUUCAGGGGGACAACCUCCCGAAAGGGAGGCUAAUCCCGCGUAUAUCGGUUUCGGGCAUCCGAGAUCGAGGAAAGAUUCAUCGGAAGAGGAUGGGCAUGCGGCGCAUUAGCUAGACGGCGGGGUAACGGCUCACCGUGGCGACGAUGCGUAGGGGUUCUGAGAGGAAGGUCCCCCACACUGGUACUGAGACACGGACCAGACUCCUACGGAAGGCAGCAG
rnacentral:rRNA from 1 species